UCCUUCAGUGUUGAAACAAUCUCUACUGAACCAGGCUCCAAACCAAGUUCACUGGAGUUUGUUUCAAUAUUGCAAGAA
rfam:Ictidomys tridecemlineatus contig108726, whole genome shotgun sequence.